AUUGAACGCUGGCGGCAUGCUUUACACAUGCAAGUCGAACGGUAACAGGGUGCUUGCACCGCUGACGAGUGGCGAACGGGUGAGUAAUGCGUCGGAACGUGCCGAGUAGUGGGGGAUAACGCAGCGAAAGUUGUGCUAAUACCGCAUACGUACUGAGGUAGAAAGUGGGGGACCUUCGGGCCUCACCCCAUUCGAGCGGCCGACGUCUGAUUAGCUAGUAGGUGAGGUAAAGGCUCACCUAGGCGACGAUCAGUAGCGGGUCUGAGAGGAUGAUCCGCCACACUGGGACUGAGACACGGCCCAGACUCCUACGGGAGGCAGCAGUGGGGAAUUUUGGACAAUGGGCGAAAGCCUGAUCCAGCCAUGCCGCGUGUCUGAAGAAGGCCUUCGGGUUGUAAAGGACUUUUGUCAGGGAGGAAAUCCCUAGCGCUAAUAACACUGGGGGAUGACAGUACCUGAAGAAUAAGCACCGGCUAACUACGUGCCAGCCGCCGCGGUAA
rnacentral:rRNA from 1 species